rnacentral:rRNA from 1 species
UCUGAACCUUCGGGGGACGAUAACGGCGUCGAGCGGCGGACGGGUGAGUAAUGCCUAGGAAAUUGCCCUGAUGUGGGGGAUAACCAUUGGAAACGAUGGCUAAUACCGCAUGAUGCCUACGGGCCAAAGAGGGGGACCUUCGGGCCUCUCGCGUCAGGAUAUGCCUAGGUGGGAUUAGCUAGUUGGUGAGGUAAGGGCUCACCAAGGCGACGAUCCCUAGCUGGUCUGAGAGGAUGAUCAGCCACACUGGAACUGAGACACGGUCCAGACUCCUACGGGAGGCAGCAGUGGGGAAUAUUGCACAAUGGGCGCAAGCCUGAUGCAGCCAUGCCGCGUGUGUGAAGAAGGCCUUCGGGUUGUAAAGCACUUUCAGUCGUGAGGAAGGUAGUGUAGUUAAUAGCUGCAUUAUUUGACGUUAGCGACAGAAGAAGCACCGGCUAACUCCGUGCCAGCAGCCGCGGUAAUACGGAGGGUGCGAGCGUUAAUCGGAAUUACUGGGCGUAAAGCGCAUGCAGGUGGUUUGUUAAGUCAGAUGUGAAAGCCCGGGGCUCAACCUCGGAAUUGCAUUUGAAACUGGCAGACUAGAGUACUGUAGAGGGGGGUAGAAUUUCAGGUGUAGCGGUGAAAUGCGUAGAGAUCUGAAGGAAUACCGGUGGCGAAGGCGGCCCCCUGGACAGAUACUGACACUCAGAUGCGAAAGCGUGGGGAGCAAACAGGAUUAGAUACCCUGGUAGUCCACGCCGUAAACGAUGUCUACUUGGAGGUUGUGGCCUUGAGCCGUGGCUUUCGGAGCUAACGCGUUAAGUAGACCGCCUGGGGAGUACGGUCGCAAGAUUAAAACUCAAAUGAAUUGACGGGGGCCCGCACAAGCGGUGGAGCAUGUGGUUUAAUUCGAUGCAACGCGAAGAACCUUACCUACUCUUGACAUCCAGAGAACUUUCCAGAGAUGGAUUGGUGCCUUCGGGAACUCUGAGACAGGUGCUGCAUGGCUGUCGUCAGCUCGUGUUGUGAAAUGUUGGGUUAAGUCCCGCAACGAGCGCAACCCUUAUCCUUGUUUGCCAGCGAGUAAUGUCGGGAACUCCAGGGAGACUGCCGGUGAUAAACCGGAGGAAGGUGGGGACGACGUCAAGUCAUCAUGGCCCUUACGAGUAGGGCUACACACGUGCUACAAUGGCGCAUACAGAGGGCGGCCAACUUGCGAAAGUGAGCGAAUCCCAAAAAGUGCGUCGUAGUCCGGAUUGGAGUCUGCAACUCGACUCCAUGAAGUCGGAAUCGCUAGUAAUCGUGGAUCAGAAUGCCACGGUGAAUACGUUCCCGGGCCUUGUACACACCGCCCGUCACACCAUGGGAGUGGGCUGCAAAAGAAGUAGGUAGU